UUUUCUUUCAUACCAAAUAAUAUUUAUACAGUGUGUAUUUUCAAUAGAAAAGCUACAAAUGAUUGUGGGAAUGGAAACCUUCAGUCAUGGUGCUAUUGUUCACUUGAGAAAGAGGAGCUUUUCCUCUGCUUAUUCCUGACUUAGUAGUGCUUGCUGGUUUCCUACUGCUGUUUUGAAAAAUUACUACAAGUUUAAUAUUAAAAGACAAGACAAAUGCAUUAUUUUGCAUUUCUGUAAAUCAGAAGUGCAAAGUCUGUCUUAGGGGUCUAAAAUCAAAGUAUUGGGAAAGCUAUCUUCUUUAGUGAAAAUUCUAGAGGAGAUUACAUGUCCUUGUCUUCCAGAUUCUAGAGCCAACUAAUUUCUUUGGCUCAUAGACCCACCAUCAAAGCCAGGAGCACCAGGCCAAGUAUCUUCUACAUUUCCAUCUCUGCUAUUUUGGAUUUCCCCUUCAUUUGUAAGGAAACUUUUGAUUACACCAAGGCCACCUGUCCUAUCUAGACUAGUCUUAUCUUAAGAUCAGGUGAUUAAUGGCAUCAAUGUUCCUUUUACUAUGUAACCUACCCUGAUUCAUAGGUUUGGAGAUUAAAGACAAAGAAUUCUUUAGGAGCCAUUAUACCACAUCAUACCACGGAGCUCAGGGACUUGAGAAAAGCUGUUAUUGCCACUGGCUCCAUGGCAAGUUAAUUUGAAUCAGUGUAUGUCUCCUGAGUGCUUCCUGCUACAAUGUGUUUGAUGAGUGUGCCCAAUGCAGCUUUCCCUAAGGCACAGAAUGGCUUCCACAUGUUUCUCCUAGCUUCCCCUCAGGCAAGGAUGAUGAGGAGCUAAAUCUGUGGUGAGUGAUAUUAAUGUAUUUACUACUAAUUAUGGGUUUUGGCUUGUUCACAUCAAUGAACAGGUAAAGACAAAUUUAAUCAAACAAAACAAUAUGUCCCACUAUUUUAAGUGCAGUGAAGUAAGUUUAGUCUUUGUACUGUAUGGAAGACUGGUCGAAUUGCUUCUUGUUGUUGUUUUUUACAUGGGGCCAUGUUCUACACGUAGCUAACGGACUCGGAGUGUAUGCUUCUUGCCCCUCUGUCCUCCCUCCCAAGUACUAUCCCAUUCUUCUGCUUUCGUGUCAGCUCUACGUGUAUGAUUUUGUGUGUCUACAAGCCUCGACCCAGGAAUUCUAGAAUGUGAUACUUGACUAACUGGGACUGACUUAAUUGCUUCAUAUGAUUGUUUCUAGUUGCAUUCAUUUUCAAGAGUAUGUAAUAAUUUCUUUCCCCAUGCCUGAAAACCCUUUCAUUGUGUAUGGAGAGCACCUUCUAUGCAGGAAACCAUGGGACUGAGAUCAGCCAUCAGCCAUGCCAGCUGCCCAGCAGGUGCUUCUGCUCUUCAGCAUCCCCAUUGCUUAUGCACUUGGAAGUAAACACUAACACCACCAUGUCAUGUGGAUCUAGAGCCCUUAGUCUGCACCAAGACCUCCUUUACCCUCCUUCUUUCACUCUCUGUAGUUAUCUGUAGCCUUCCUAACACAGCCUAUAUACAAAGAUAAUAACAAUAAUAAUUCAAAUUUUUAAGAUUACAACUCCUACAACUUAGCAUGACCAGAUUUUCAGCUUUCAUAAUGUGUAAAUACACUGUGAUUUAAAUAAACACUAAAUAUGAUCUAAUUAACCACCAGAGAUCAUUGAAAAACUACAGAAAAUUACUAGACUUUCUUCUGUACAUACUUAGUGUAUAAAUGUUAUCACUGCUAAAAAUUGAACAAUAACUGGCACCUCCCAAACAACUACAUGUAUUUUUAAUUAUUUAUUUGCCAUGCCUUUAUAAUUGUGAUUUGGAAUCAAAGUCAGGGUUUUUUUUUUUUUUUUUUUAAUGUGGGAAUGUCUAAUAUAUAUCAGAAAUUUAAGAUUAUUCUCGCUCUCUGAAGACUUUUAUCAUUGUUACCAUUUCCUUUUAUGGAAAUUAAAAUGCUAAGUAUAUGAUUAAAUUGGCCUGGGGCUUAUAGGGAGAUGAUAAAGCCUGUAAGUGUCACACUUCCAUGCUAAGUGGUUAAGACUGACAGUUCCUUGUGCCCUGGCUACGCCAUGCUGUAUUAGCCAUAACAGGAAAGAUCUGUGGUGACAUGUAACCCUUUUUAACACUUGCCUCAGGAUAUUACCCACUGUGAAAAGGCUUUUUAAACUCUUGUUCAUUUCAUACUGAAAUAAUCUACUUUAUUCAUGUCCUCAAGCUCAUGUUUGUAUAGCAGUGGUUGUUUUAAUAACAUUUCAAGGUUCAAAAAUGGAGAGUUGUGGUAGCAGUCACUUUGAUGUAAAGAAAAGAAAAUGGGGAAAAAACAACAGAAAAAAGAAAAUUUCAAGGUUAAAUCUCUAAACAUUUUGAUUACUGCCUCUCUCAGAAUAUUACUUAAUCUCUGGGACCUCUACUAAACUCCCUGGUCACUACUAUGAAGUAGUGAUCAUUUUAAUUAUUGAUACGAGUACACCUGGAUGACAUAUUGUUAACUGUGCACAACUGUGUAUGUUUUAGUCAGGCUUCUCUCCUAACUCAGUUUUCUUGUAUUCUAUAGAUUAUUCUUCAGUGUUUGAAUUUGAAAUAUUAAUGUCUCAUCAUGUGCCAAAAGUGAAGUGUGUCUUUGUGUGUGAUAAUCCUGGGUCACUCUAUUAGUGUGCUUUUUCAUCCUGUGCAACUUGGGAGUCAUUUAUUAGCACCAUCUUCUAAAUCACUUUUUUUUUUUUACAACAUACCCUUAACACUAUCAUCUGAUAUUCUUGCCAAGGACUAAAUCUCCAGAUCCGAGAUGGAGAGUGCCAAGUGUUCUGUCCUCUUGCCUGAGUCACACCAUUCACAACCUGCCAUUAAUCUGCUUCCCACUGGCUCUGGGCUCUUACUUGCUUCUCCAGGGCAAUUUUUAUGACCCUACAUUUUUCUGACCUCAUACCUCUGAUGUAUACAUUACUCUCUCUUUUAUUCCUAAUUCUUUGGAGAUAAAAAUCUCUCCAGUCAUUUAUCUUUCCCUCAUGGAGACUUUAGGUUUCUGGCUACCCCCAUCACAUUUCUAAUACACUGAGUCACCCCUUCUUUCCUAGAAAGCUUGCUGUUGACCUUCUUUACUAACUUUGAUGACUUACUUUCUGUUCAGUAUUUUGUUCUAUGCAUUUUGUGAUGGGCUGUAAUUUAUUAAAACCUCAUUACCAAAUUCUACUUAUGAAAAUAACAUCCUAAAAUAUAUUUUAAUAAGUAGUUAAAAAUGAUGUUUGAAUAAAUUAUGUUUUCUCAGAGAUACCCUGAGAAAGAUAGAUGGAUGGACGGUGCUCCUGAUUCUCUCCUUUUCAUAGUGUGCAAAACAUUCAGGAAGAGAAAAGCCCAGCUGUAAAAUCAAGGUUUCCAGACCAGGCUAUUUCUAUUUAUAGCACUGAAAAUGGGACAUGAUACUAGCUAUUUCAGAAAAGCCAUUCCAAGAUGUUCACCAAGUUAUACAAAUAUAGACUGAUAUUUUCUCAAUAAGGACAGAUGAAUUCAAGGACAAACAUAUGAGAUCUUACUUAAAGCAGAAAAUGCCAACCAUGGAAGAAGGAGAGCUGAUUAUCAUGCCUUUGACAGGAACAGUAGCUAUGAAUCACAGAACCUAUUAACUUGAACUCUCACAACCUCUUUGUCAACCUCCCAGGCUGUGAAGAAAUCCUCUUCUAACAUGGCUUGCACUUAGCAAUGCUCUCAGUCCCUGUUCUGUUACUGCUGCUGCUGAAGACCAAGCAAACACUGGUCCUGUCUUGGUGACUCUAAUUGUCCUAAUGUACAAGUGAAGAAAGAACCACUUUCUUGUAAUUUGUCAUUUUGUGGAUUGAGUUCAAUGUUUUAUUGAAAUCAUUUUGAAAGUAGCACCUAUGCCCCAUUGUAGACCUUCACACUUUAAACAUAAUGUCUUUAUAGUGGGUGAAGUGGCUCAGUGGAUAACAUGCUUGCUGUGUAAGUAUGAGAGCUGGAGUUUAGAAUGCUGGCACUUAUGUAAAAACCCAAGCAGGUGUAGGAGCCACCUGUGUUCUCAGCAGUCAGAGGUGGAAACGGAUUCAUUCCCAGACAAGCCUACUGGCAAGACUGAGAAUGAGCAAGUUCUGGCUUAAGAAGGAGACCCUGGCAUAAUUCAUAAAGUAUAGAAUGAUCUAGAAGACAUCCUAUAUCAACCAUCAGCCUCAGUGUGUAUAUACACAUCAACAUAGGUGUGAGAAUGUGCAUAAACACACACUUGCAUGCACACCACAAACAUAAGUAAAAUGUUUCAUAUUGCACGUCUUAUCUGCUACACAGUCUUGCUAUCCUCUAUUCUCGGCAUACGCUCUUCUUUGUAAACUGCCCUUCCUUAUUCAAAAGUGCUAACAAAUAUAGAUGAACUUCAGCUGUAAAAUAAGUAUUAUCUAGAAAUAAACUGAAAAAUGUAAACUUUCCAAGCUUGCUCUUUAAUAGAGAUUUUACAGAUAAUUUAUAAGUCCCUAUGAUGUUGGAGUUCUUCAUUAUCCUUUCAUGAGACUGCUUGUGUAGUCAGCUGCGUAGGACAGAAAAUCUGUAGCUGCAUAGAAACAGGGCGGGAUCUUCUGAGUUAUUCUCAAAUGUCAUCAAUUGCAAAGGGCUCUAUUUCUUUCAGUUAUGAUUACAAGGAGACUAUUGCUCCACAGUGGAGCCCCCCUAGAGGGUAAUGGUACGUGUUUCUUAUCAGUACAAAGACUGUUGUAGGCUGUCAAACAUAUUAGAACAGUAAACCAUCGAGGAAAAGACAUUUUCUUUGACCUGGUUUACUUAAAUGAUUUAUCUAAACUUCAGACUUUAGUGUCUGAAAUUACUACUGAUAUUGAAUCUGUUUUUUUUUUUUUUUUUUUUCUUUAAAUUUGUUUCAAGUCCCACGGAGCUCAUUUAAGUUCAGGGUACUCAUUGACCUACAGGCUUAGGUACAGUGGUGAUCUCAGUACAGGUGUAAGACUGUAGAGAGUGGAGGAAAACAUGGAACGAGCCACAGUGCAAACAAAGACACUGGGCUAGAAAUUGAGAUUUUUGUACCAAGGUGGUUUUGAUAAGAAUUACUGCUUUUGUUUUGUUUGCUUUUGUUUUUGUUUUGUUUUGUUUAGUAUUUAUUGACCAUGGAAUCAUGAAAUUCGCCCACUACUGUCUGAAAGCUCUGAAGCUCUGUUCUUUUUUAAAAUUUUGUUUUGUUUGUUUCAUAAUUAACAUUCUUAUUUGUAUUUAUAUAUUUUAUAAUAUUUCUCUUUUUAGUUUUCCUUCGAGAGGGAUGCUACAAGGGUGAAGGGCAGAUACAAAGAUAAUAGGAAAUGAGUGAGAUUGGGGUGCAUGAUGUGAAAUUUUCAAAGAAUCAGUUAAAAAAAAGUUAUGUUAAAAAAAUAAAGUCCUGGGUGGGGUUGUUAAAUUUUCAUAUGCUGAGGUUAAAAAAAUGGAGUUUACUGCUAUUUGGGUAAAAAGACACUUGAUGUAGAUGAAUCAUAUUGCCUUUUCUCCUGCCUUGACCCCUCACCUUCACAUUGCCUGGGCAUAGGAGCCAGUAGAUACUAUAAGUCUAAAUAGUUAAAGCUCCAAGUCAGUUAUAUAUGAUCUGAUUACAUAAGAUUUGGCUCCGGUCUUACCAAGCACCGAUUUACACUGAGUAGGAUGGCCAGGGGAAAUGUAGGGAUUUGUGAAACCUUAGGUUUGCUUCUGAGGGUAGCUAGACCCCCACUCUUCACCCAUAGCCUAUUCUUUUUCUUCUCUUAGCUUUACAGCAUUCCGUGCAUAAAGAGACUUCCAUGUACUUUGUGUGCAUGUCUUGCUGCAUAACAAAUCUCCAGAAAUAACUGAACCCCUGCAAAAAAAAAAAAAAAAAAAAAAAUGUUCCUGUUAGUCUUUCUUGGCCUGGGGGCAUGCUUAUGAGCAAUGUGAUUCCCCAUAGGAGGAUGCACUUUAAAAAUCACCUUGGAAAUAAUAUCAGGGCUAUUUGAUCCAGCAUUUUGGAGAGUCAGCACCCAGAAAAUAGUAUAGAGAGAGGAAGAUGGACUUUGGAUAAGGUUCCUCAUAGAACCUUAACUCUUUGAGGGGUUGGGAAAGAGGAAGAACAGUGGUGAAUUUAGGGUAAGAGCCCAUAUCUUAGUCAGGUGCUAUGAGAUUCUUUCUAAUACAUUUUUCCCAGAAUAUGAAAUUGUUCCUAGGAAUUGUAUAAAUAUGUGUGAUGAAGA